rnacentral:rRNA from 1 species
AAUCAACGCUGGCGGCGUGCCUCAGACAUGCAAGUCGAACGAUUAAACUUUCCUUCGGGAAAGAUAUAAAGUGGCGCACGGGUGAGUAACACGUAGGUAAUGUACCUUUGGGUGGGGAAUAACCAUCGGAAACGAUGGCUAAUACCGCAUAAUGCAGCGGCAUCGCAAGAUGACAGUUGUUAAAAGAUUUUAUCGCCUAAAGAGCAGCCUGCGGCAGAUUAGGUAGNGGUAAGGUAAUGGCUUACCAAGCCUGCGAUCUGUAACCGACCUGAGAGGGUGGUCGGUCACACUGACACUGAAUAACGGGUCAGACUCCUACGGGAGCAGCAGUCGGGAAUUUGGGCAAUGGGCGAAAGCCUGACCCAGCAACGCCGCGUGAAGGACGAAGUCUUUCGGGA